UUCGAGGUGAGGGGUACACAUCCAGUUGGGUAUGUCAGAGGUUUAUGCAGAGAACCUCUUUUAGAUCACAGACGUGGAGACCGAAGGAGGGAAUGAGAAGUGCGGCAGAGUUUUGUCAGCACAGCAGUGGUAAGAGCUGCUGUCGGACUGAAGGUUCUGUGAUAUGGAGUAAAUGGAGAAGAGCAGGGGCCCAGGCUCCACAUAGUGAAAUCUUGUCCAGCUCAGAGCACAGUGAUGGGGAAGAGAGUGAGCAGCAGCCAUCCUGCUGAUUCUGGGCACUGGCUGGAACCAUGAUGGGGCUCCUGGUGGACACGAGCACUGAGGAGUGUCUAGACCAGGCAGAACAGCUAACUUCAUGGUACCACGACACUUCCUCGCCCAUCGAUGACACUCAAAACACUGCGAAAAUCUUUCCACAAGCAGCGACUGCCCACUUUCACCUUUUUGUAUUUAAAAAUAAAUGCUCCUUCAAGGUAAUAAAUAAUGAAGUCCGU